CAGCCGCCGCGGUAAUACGGGGGGUGCAAGCGUUAAUCGGAAUUACUGGGCGUAAAGCGCACGCAGGCGGUUUGUUAAGUCAGAUGUGAAAUCCCCGAGCUUAACUUGGGAACUGCAUUUGAAACUGGCAAGCUAGAGUCUUGUAGAGGGGGGUAGAAUUCCAGGUGUAGCGGUGAAAUGCGUAGAGAUCUGGAGGAAUACCGGUGGCGAAGGCGGCCCCCUGGACAAAGACUGACGCUCAGGUGCGAAAGCGUGGGGAGCAAACAGGAUUAGAGACCCCAGUAGUCCCUGUCUCUUAUAC
rnacentral:rRNA from 1 species